GACGAACGCUGGCGGCGUGCCUAACACAUGCAAGUCGAGCGAAGAACUUCGGUUCUUAGCGGCGGACGGGUGAGUAACACGUGGGUAACCUGCCUCAAAGAGGGGGAUAGCCUCCCGAAAGGGAGAUUAAUACCGCAUAAUAUUGAGUCUUCGCAUGAAGAUCUAAUUAAAGGAGUAAUCCGCUUUGAGAUGGACCCGCGGCGCAGUAGCUAGUCGGUGAGGUAACGGCUCACCAAGGCGACGAUGCGUAGCCGACCUGAGAGGGAGAUCGGCCACAUUGGAACUGAGACACGGUCCAGACUCCUACGGGAGGCAGCAGUGGGGAAUAUUGCACAAUGGGCGAAAGCCUGAUGCAGCAACGCCGCGUGAGUGAUGAAGGCCUUCGGGUUGUAAAACUCUGUCUUUGGGGACGAUUAUGACGGUACCCAAGGAGGAAGCCACGGCUAACUACGUGCCAGCAGCCGCGGUAACAC
rnacentral:rRNA from 1 species